GAAGACUCGGUCUUUGCUCAGUGUGUUUGAAGAAGAUGCAGGAACCCUUACUGAAUAUACAAACCAGUUGCUUCAGGCAAUGCAACGAGUCUAUGGUGCUCAGAAUGAAAUGUGUCUUGCCACACAACAGCUUUCAAAGCAGCUCCUUGCCUAUGAAAAGCAGCAUUUUGCCUUAGGCAAAGGAGAUGAAGAAGUGAUAUCUACCCUUCAUUAUUUUUCAAAAGUUGUGGAUGAG